GCACUGAUUCUCCUAAAGGGAGAGAAUUCAAGAGCACUGUUGCCAUUCAUCUUGGUAACCAGUGCUCUACGGUUGCUAGCUGACAGGAGGUAGUGCCCUCCCCUCUCUGCCACCAGGGUCAUUCACAUAGCCACUUACUGCUGUACUCUAUUACUAAAGUACUCAACUUUAUCUACUGUGUCUGGCUGCGUUCCAACAGCAUUCCAACAGCAUGGCCGAUUGGAUGGGGAGCCUUCUCUCUGAGGCAUUCUUCCACCUUCAGGUUUCCAUUAGGUAAAUUAAAGAAUUAAGAUUCUGCCUAAUGUCUUCCCUGAUGCCAGAAUUGUGCUACUUCAGGAUGACCCAAGAUCUGUCUCUUGUUUCCUACCCAUUUCACACACACACACACACACACACACACACACACACACACACACACACACACACACACAUAAAUAUAUAAAAUAUUUGUGAUGGAAAAGUCAUCUUGCUUGAGCAAAAGAGAAAGUGGAACAGAGGCGACAUGGUGCUGAUGUCCUAUGGCAACCUUGUGGAGAAUGGCAGCUUGGGUCUCAUCCAGAAGAUGUCUUCAGCCUUCCCAGAAGUGGCUUCAGUAUGAGGUUAUGGGCAUAAACCACACUCCCUGAUGCACAGUUUCUCUCUAGUCUUCAUUUGGAAAAAAGAAAUCUCAUCACAGGUCAGCCAGCAUAGAUUUCUAAGCAGUCACUGUAAAUCCCACAUCGUGGCUAACCUAGAAGAAAAAAGUAUUGGACACCAAGGACCUCAAUUUGAAAUCAGAGAAAAGCAAGACUAACAAAUGCCAGCAGGCAAGCACUUGCUGAAGUGUAUUUGCCGGAGCUAUCAAAAAGCCUGAUGGAAAAAGUGGGCGUCCACACCAGUUUUCUAGGAACUCAUUCUGUUUAUACCUGCUACAUUGGUGUAACUAUUAUUAUU
rnacentral:lncRNA from 1 species